ensembl:lncRNA
CGGGUCUCCUGUGGCCGGCGGAGUGGUUGAAGUCGCGUCCUGUCCCUCGUUCCUCUCCUCCACUGGAUUCUCGUCCGGUAGUGUGUCGCUAAUUCCUCUGCGUGGUACUGAGAGUGAGAUGAGGAACAGCGUGGCUGCUUUCUCCGCCGAUUCCCUCGCCGUGAGUUUCUGAGCCAAUCACGCAGGGUCAUCACACAGCCAAUUAUAGGGCUCCUUUAUCCUCCUAAGCCCUGCCCACUACCAUGCAACAUAUUAACAGUAAGGUGUAAUAAACACAGUGAUGAGUCAUGUUGACCUCACUCAAUUUCCCAGGAGGCCGUGUGAUUACCCAUGAACCCGCACUGCAGUGAUUCUCUGAGGAAAACACUCCACAUGCAGCUCUCUGUGGCAAAGCUUAUUGAGUCUUUAUAACGGGACACAGUGUGAGGUCGUGAAGAGUUUAUCCCUAUAAACUCUUCACGACCUCACACUGUGUCCCGUUAUAUAACACUGUUAUUAUAACACUGUGUUCCUACACAGUGUGAGGUCGUGAAGAGUUUAUAGGGACACAGUGUGAGGUCGUGAAGAGUUUAUAACGGGACACAGUGUGAGGUCGUGAAGAGUUUUAUAGGGGACACAGUGUGAAGUCGUGAAGAGUUUAUAACAGGACACAGUGUGAGGUCGUGAAAAGUUUAUAACGGGACACAGUGUGAGGUCAUGAAGAGUUUAUAACGGGACACAGUGUGAGGUCGUGAAGAGUUUAUAGGGACACAGUGUGAGGUCGUGAAAAGUUUAUAACGGGACACAGUGUGAGGUCGUGAAGAGUUUAUAACGGGACACAGUGUGAGGUCGUGAAGAGUUUAUAACGGGACACAGUGUGAGGUCGUGAAGGGUUUAUAGGGACACAGUGUGAGGUCGUGAAGAGUUUAUAGGGACACAGUGUGAGGUCGUGAAGGGUUUAUAGGGACACAGUGUGAGGUCGUGAAGAGUUUAUA